rnacentral:rRNA from 1 species
UACGUAGGGGGCAAGCGUUGUCCGGAUUUAUUGGGCGUAAAGAGCGUGUAGGCGGUCAGGUAGGUCCGUUGUGAAAACUCGAGGCUCAACCUCGAGACGCCGAUGGAAACCAUCCGACUAGAGUCCGGAAGAGGAGAGUGGAAUUCCUGGUGUAGCGGUGAAAUGCGCAGAUAUCAGGAAGAACACCCGUGGCUAAGGCGGCUCUCUAGUACGGUACUGACGCUGAGACGCGAAAGCGUGGGGAGCGAACAGG